CUGUCUUUGUUUCUGUGAUGAUGGUAAAUCAAGGGAAUUAGGGCUAGUCUCACUCCUUUACAAAUUGAGUUAUUUUUCUCUUUAAAUACAGUCAAAUUGGAAACAUUUUAUUCGGCUUUUAUAAACGCACUUAGCAAGACAACCUCAACAUACAACUUCAAUGUUCUUAAGGCUGAGAGAUCUUAAAUCCAUUUUAAGUGCCUGGUGUUAGACGAUACACCGACUACAUUCAAUCCUGCCUCGAAUGGGCAGUUGCUCACCAGACCUUUGGAAACAGAUCGAUCUACUACACCACAGAGUUUUUACGCCAACUUCUCCAUUUUUGAUGGCUCCUACACCCAUCUGACAGCCAUGCACAGUUUUUGGUCAAUAAGAAGACCACACCAGCAGGUUGUGCUGUGCCUUUGCUAGGGCGGGACACGAACUCCAAGUUCCGGCUGGUGGAGCAUAAUUAAUAAGGCUGGGGAGCCCUCUUCCCCUGGCCUUGCAGCGGGGGCUCACACAGCUUGGGUGAGAUGAAUGUCCCCCGUGUCCUUCUUCCUGGAGGGAUGGAAGACCAGCUGACCUUCCUGCCUAGCGAGUGCCCUGCUGCUGCUAAGGUCCUGCAUCUCUCGCCAUCUAGACCCUACAGACCCUGGAGAUCGUUGCUGGGGCUAUCUAGGGGGUCCAGGGAACCCUACACUUUGGCAUGGCGCCCACACUGUACCUGUAGAGCUUCCAGCGUGUUCUCUCUCCAGUUUCACUAUCUUUUCUCUAUUGUUUUCUACAAAUAAAGCAUAAGCUAAUGAAUGGUCAA